UACAGGGGGUGCAAACGUUGCUCGGAAUCAUUGGGCGUAAAGCGCACGUAGGCGGUUCGUUAUGUCGGAUGUGAAAGCCCUUGGCUUAACCGAGGAAGUGCAUCCGAAACUGGCGAGCUAGAGUACGAAAGAGGAUCGCGGAAUUCCCGGUGUAGAGGUGAAAUUCGUAGAUAUCGGGAGGAACACCGGUGGCGAAGGCGGCGAUCUGGGUCGAUACUGACGCUGAGGUGCGAAAGCG
rnacentral:rRNA from 1 species